rnacentral:misc_RNA from 1 species
GAUGAAGAACGUAGUGAAAUGCGAUAAGUAAUGUGAAUUGCAGAAUUCAGUGAAUCAUCGAAUCUUUGAACGCACCUUGCGCCCUUUGGCCAUUCCGAAGGGCAUGCCUGUUUGAGUAUCAUGAACACCUCAACUCUCAUGGCUCGCCAUGCUGCGCUUGGACUUUGGGGGUCUUGCUGGCCUGUGGUCGGCUCCUCUCAAAUGGAUCAGCUUGCCAGUGUUUGGUGGCAUCACAGGUGUGAUAACUAUCUGCGCUUGUGGUUUUCCAUCAGAUAACCUUCAGUGAUGGAGGUUCGCUGGAGCUCAUAAACGUCUCCCCUAAGCGGGGACAGCCCUUUGAAUGUUUGAUCUCAAAUCAGGUAGGACUACCCGCUGAACUUAAGCAUAUCAAUAAGCGGAGGA